CAGCUGUUUCGGCGUGUGGCAGCUGCCCUUCCUGGGAUGGAGAGCAUGCAGGAGACGAGCAAGGAGGGAAUGAUUGACAUCAAGCUGGACAAACCACAGGAGCCUCCAACCACUGAAGGCGGGUGCUCCUGUUAAAUCCCAACACCUGAUUGGUGCAUCUUCAUCUCCACCACAUGCUUGUUGUGUUGGUUCGCCUCCAGUAGAGCUUUCAGAUUGGAAUUUAUUUUAAUACUGGUCAUCAGUUGGAAACUAGCGUUACGUACAUUUCAGUUGUAAAAUAGGGUACUUUAUUAAAGGAAUUGCCAAAAAGUCUUAAACAUUUACAAAAUGAUCAAUAACAAAAAACUUAACCCUCUCAAACAUGUGAACUAUACUUUUUUGGGGGAAAAAGUAGAAUGGUAUGUCAUUUUUUUUUCUUUUAUAUUUUUGUAUAUUAAAGCUUUGAAAAGUUGAAAAGUUGCAUAUGACCAAGUUCUCCCCUUGUAUGUAUGACCAAUGGCACCCUAUUUCCUAUGUAGUGCACUACUUUUAGACCAUAGCCCUAUGGCACUAGGGUAUAGGGUGUCAUUGGGAUGGAAGGAGUCCAGUGGCUAGACAGAGGGCACACUAUUCCCUAUGUAGUGACCCCUAGUGCUCUGAUCAACAGUAGUGCACUAUAUAGGGAAUAGGGUACUCAUCUGAAUGCUUGUAAAUCUAACGCAUGCAUGCCAAUUGUUCAUUUAUGUACUAUUGUGCUCUCUACUGACAAGUUUGAAUAUGUAAAUGAUCUUUGAUCAUGUGACUUAA